rnacentral:sRNA from 1 species
UUCACACCCAUGGAGACUAAAGUCCUAUGUUUUUCCACAGACAUGGUACAGCAGAGGCAGUUCUACUGAAAGCUACUUGGCACUGCCCUGCUACAUCUCUCAAUCCUACCCUAAAAGGACCAACUAUAGAGGUAAGACGAGAGUUCAGAAUUCAUGACCAAGUCAGCCUUUGGCAAAG